rnacentral:rRNA from 1 species
AUUGAACGCUGGCGGUAUGCUUAACACAUGCAAGUCGAACGGUAACGACAGAGAGCUUGUCUCUUUGGGCGACGAGUGGCGGACGGGUGAGUAAUAUAUAGGAACCUUCCCCAUAGUUUAGGAUAAGCACUCGAAAGAGUGUCUAAUACUGGAUAUGGACUACGGUUUAAAGCAGGGGCUUCUUCGGAACCUUGUGCUAUGGGAUGGGCCUAUACAAGAUUAGCUAGUUGGUGGGAUAAAAGCUCACCAAGGCGACGAUCUUUAGCUGGUUUGAGAGGAUGAUCAGCCACACUGGGACUGAGACACGGCCCAGACUCCUACGGGAGGCAGCAGUCGGGAAUAUUGCGCAAUGGAGGAAACUCUGACGCAGUGACGCCGCGUGUAGGAAGGAGGUCUUAGGAUUGUAAAACUACUUUAGACAGGGAAGAAAAUGACAGUACCUGUAGAAUAAGUUCCGGCUAACUACGUGCCAGCAGCCGCCGUAAU